rnacentral:rRNA from 1 species
GACGAACGCUGGCGGCGUGCCUAAUACAUGCAAGUCGAACGCAGUUGGGACGGGUGAGUAACACGUGGGUAACCUCCCAUCAGAGGGGAAAACACUUGGAAACAGGUGCUAAACCGUUACUGGUGGUUGGACCCGCGGUGCAUUAGCUAGUGGGUGAGGUAACGGCUAACCAAGGCCAGGAUCGAUAGCCGACCUGAGAGGGGGAUCGGCCACACUGGAACUGAGACACGGCCCAGACUCCUAGGGGAGGCAGCAGUAGGGAAUCUUCGGCAAUGGACGAAAGUCUGACCGAGCAACGCCGCGUGAGUGAUGAAGGUUUUCGGAUCGUAAAACUCUGUUAUUAGAGAAGCGGUAUCUAACCAGAAAGCCACGGCUAACUACGUGCCAGCAGCCGCGGUAAUUC